CAGGUCGGUCAGACGAUCGCUCUCUGCUUUGAGCAGGGGGAGGAAAGUCCGGGCUCCACAGGGCACGGUGCUGGAUAACGUCCAGGCGGGGUAACCCGACGGAAGAGGGCCACAGAGAAGGAGACAGCCGGGGCGGUGCGAGCCGCCCCGGUGAUGGUGAAAAGGUGGUGUAAGAGACCACCGGCGUCUGUGGUGACACAGGCGGCCAGGCAACCCCCACCGGGAGCAAGGUCAAGCAGAAGCGAGGGGCGGCCCGUCCCGUUCGAGCUUCGGGUAGACCGCGUGAGGCGAUGGGUAACCAUCGUCCCAGAUAGAUGAUCGUCCACGACAGAACCCGGCUUAU
rnacentral:RNase_P_RNA from 1 species